rnacentral:rRNA from 1 species
AACUAACGCUGGCGGCGUGCCUAACACAUGCAAGUCGUACGAGAAAGUCCGCUUCGGUGGAUGAGUAAAGUGGCGCACGGGUGAGUAACGCGUGGAUAAUCUGCCCUUCAGCGGGGAAUAACGCAUCGAAAGGUGGGCUAAUACCCCAUAACACUGUUUCUGCUCCGGCAGGAGAGUCAAAGACGGCCUCUGUUUACAAGCCGUCACCGAAGGAUGAGUCCGCGUACCAUUAGCUAGUUGGUAGGGGAAUGGCCUACCAAGGCUGCGAUGGUUAGCUGGUCUGAGAGGAUGAUCAGCGACACUGGAACUGAGACACGGUCCAGACUCCUACGGGAGGCAGCAGUGAGGAAUCUUGCGCAAUGGGGGCAACCCUGACGCAGCAACGCCGCGUGAGUGAGGAAGGUCUUCGGAUCGUAAAGCUCUGUCGGGUGGGAAGAAACGUAUGGAGGUUAAUAGCCUUUAUGCUUGACGGUGCCACCAAAGGAAGCACCGGCUAACUCCGUGCCAGCCGCCGCCGUAAGAC